AUUGAACGCUGGCGGCAUGCCUUACACAUGCAAGUCGAACGGCAGCGGGGACUUCGGUCCGCCGGCGAGUGGCGAACGGGUGAGUAAUGUAUCGGAACGUACCAUUCAGUGGGGGAUAACUACCCGAAAGGAUGGCUAAUACCGCAUAUUCUGUGAGCAGGAAAGCAGGGGAUCGCAAGACCUUGCGCUGAUUGAGCGGCCGAUAUCAGAUUAGCUAGUUGGUGAGGUAACGGCUCACCAAGGCUACGAUCUGUAGCGGGUCUGGGAGGAUGAUCCGCCACACUGGGACUGAGACACGGCCCAGACUCCUACGGGAGGCAGCAGUGGGGAAUUUUGGACAAUGGGCGCAAGCCUGAUCCAGCCAUGCCGCGUGAGUGAAGAAGGCCUUCGGGUUGUAAAGCUCUUUCGGCCGGGAAGAAAUCGCAUCAGCUAAUACCUGGUGUGGAUGACGGUACCGGAAUAAGAAGCACCGGCUAACUACGUGCCAGCCGCCGCCGUAACAC
rnacentral:rRNA from 1 species